UUCAUAUUUUUUUUCUUACGUCCAGAAAUAGUUCUACAGAAAGUAAAUCCUAAAACCUAAUCGUGUCUCACUGAAAAUUCAAUCCCCAAAUAUGAAUUUGAUAAUCAAACAAACACUUAUGCUGGUCGAUCCAUCUUGAAAAGCCUAAAUCGUUAUCAUCAAUACAUUUUUUUGAAGAUUAAUUCGAAAUGGAGGGGAAUAGUUAUUGAGAUUCCAUUUAAUUUCGAAGAUUUCAUCAUUGAAAGCCGAUAAAGAAUGGAGACAAAAAAAUGAAUGGAAUGCAGAGCUCGAUAGUGAUUUUGCCAGCUUACCUAGAGAAAUAGAAACAGACAUCAAGGCCAGAGUACAAUCACAUCCUUGUGAAAUGCUUAGGGUUGCGACUUCUAGGUAAAUCAGGGUGAGACAAAGUGUUCAUAUCAUAUGAAGACGGAGCUAUGCAAGUUUGGUUUAACAUGUAAAUUUUAUCUUGAAAAUUCAGCUUGUGCAUCUAUGCCUGCGCCAACUGUUGCACAUGCACCUACAUUUUAUCCCACUAUGCAGUCUCCUUGGUUCCUUCUCAGACAUAUUGGAAAGUUCCAAGCCCUCGUUUUUUGUUGUUGCAUAUAUAUAAGAAGCGCUUUUGUGCCUACGUUUCUCUCGCAAUGAAUGGUUUCCAGGUUAAAUUCCUUAUCAGUGAGUUCGAACAUAAAAAGGGAAACUUAUGUUUACUCCGAACUCCACCACGUGCGGUGCAUGAACAAAAAAUCAACCGAAUUACCGUAAUUACCCUGUGAGUUGUAUUGGUGUUACCUUCAUGCGAGAAGAUAGAGAUCUUGGCUCCUACCGAGAUUGGGGUAUACCCAGAUUUAAAUGGAUCUAGUUCCCUUACCAAGGGAAGGCAAAAUAUGGCAAAUUGUGAACUUUGAUUUUCCAUAAAAUGGUUAAUUCCAAACGAUCAAGCAGCAACGAAGGUUCAACAGGUAAUAAUAAAAGAUCCAAAUCAGAGGGAAAAGGUAAGGAAAAAGUUGGAACAAGUGAAAUCAGUAAACCCGAGAAUGCAGAAUGUUGAA